GAUGAACGCUGGCGGCGUGCCUAAUACAUGCAAGUCGAACGCACUGAUUUUAUCAGUGAGUGGCGAACGGGUGAGUAAUACAUAAGUAACCUGCCCUCAUGAGGGGGAUAACUAUUAGAAAUGAUAGCUAAGACCGCAUAGGUGAAGGGGUCGCAUGACCGCUUCAUUAAAUAUCCCGUAUGGAUAGCAGGAGGAUGGACUUAUGGCGCAUUAGCUGGUUGGUGAGGUAACGGCUCACCAAGGCGACGAUGCGUAGCCGACCUGAGAGGGUGGACGGCCACACUGGGACUGAGACACGGCCCAGACUCCUACGGGAGGCAGCAGUAGGGAAUUUUCGGCAAUGGGGGAAACCCUGACCGAGCAACGCCGCGUGAGGGAAGAAGUAUUUCGGUAUGUAAACCUCUGUUAUAAAGGAAGAACGGUAUGAAUAGGAAAUGAUUCAUAAGUGACGGU
rnacentral:rRNA from 1 species